AUCCUUUUCUGGCUCCUAAGCGUGAUGACUGGGUUGUCACAUGCUUUCGUGACAUGUACCGCCCUCCAGCUUUGUCCUGCCGUGGGCACAUGACCCAUCUGAUA